AUGACGGCCUCCAGGGAAGCCCUCUGGCCUUUGAGGCCCUCGAUCUCAGCCUGGAGCUGGCUGAUGUUCCGGUUCAUCUCGGAGAUUUGUCUUUGUACGCCGCAGGUCAUCCCCGUGCUUCCCAGCCAGCAUCUGCAGCUCCGCAUACUUGAUCUGGUAUACGCUCUCCGCCUCAGCCCGGCUGCGGUUGGCGACCUCCUCGUACUGCGCCUUGACCUCAGCGAUGUUGCUGUCCAUGUCCAGGGAGCAGCUGUUGUCCAUGGACAGCACCACAGAUGUGUCGGAGAUCGGGGACUGCAGCUCCCAGAUCUCAUCUUCAUACAGCUGCCUGAGGAAGUUGAUGUCUCAGUCAGUCCUUCCAGGCAAGACUCCAGCUCUACCUUGUUCAUGUCAGCUUCAUCCACAUCCUUCUUGAUGAGGACAAAUUCAUUCUCCAUCUCUGUACGCUUAUUGAUCUCUUCCUCAUACUUGUUCUUGAAGUCCUCCACCAGCCCCUGCAUGUUGCCAAGCUCCGCCUCCAGCUUCAGCUUCUCCUGGCCCAGUCUCCAGCUGCCACCUCAGGUUGUUGAUGUAGUUCUCAAACAUGUUGUCCAUGUUGCUCCUAGCCGUUUUCUGCUGCUGCAGGAGGCUCCACUUGGUCUCCAGCAUCUUGUUCUGCUGCUCCAGGAACCACACCUUGUCGAUGAAGGAAGCAAACUUGUUGUUGAGGGUCUUGAUCUGCUCCUUCUCCUGGGUACGCACAGCCUGGAUGUUGGGGCCCACAUCCACCUUAAUGGGGUUCAGCAGGCUCUGGUUGAUGGUGACGGCGGUGAUGCCUCCCAUGCCUAUGCCGCUGGCCCCAGCACAGUCUGCACCCAGGCCACCCUGGAAGCCACUGCUGCUCACUUGGGAGAAGCUCAAGGAGCUCAAGCGGGCACUGGGCCCACUCGUGAAGGAGCAGCUGCUGAAGGCCCCGGGGCCAGAGGUGGACACCUUGUAGGACUUCUGGGUCACCCUGAUGGACAUGGUGGAGGCAGGAGUGGAGGGAGGCAGGCUGAACCAGGGAGAGAUUCCAGAAGGAGCGGAGAAGCUGCUUCUUGCAAAACUACUUUUUUCUUGAGACAGGGUCUGGAUGUGUUGCUCAGACUGGAGUGCAGUGGUACGAUCUUGGCUCACAGCAACCCUGACCUUCUGGACUGA
rnacentral:lncRNA from 1 species